UGCACAUUUGGAUGGUCCAUUCACAAGGUUCACAACAUUUUGGCCUGCGGGAUGCGCGAUCAAGUGGUUGGGAAGGCUGGUGGGAGCGAUCGGAUGGCUUGGAGGAUAUUUGAGUUCUAAUCGGAGUCAAGACUCCGAUCUAGGCUGAGUGUGAGGCCUUUAAGAGGUCCUGUGUGCAGCAAAUAGAGAACGUGGUAGCAACAGUUCGG
rnacentral:lncRNA from 1 species